GCGCAGCCUGAUGGAGCACACCGCGUGAGUGAAGAAGGGUUUCGGCUCGUAAAACUCUGUUGUUGGAGAAGAACGUGCGUAAGAGUAACUGUUUACGCAGUGACGGUAUCCAACCAGAAAGUCACGGCUAACUACGUGCCAGCAGCCGCGGUAAUACGUAGGUGGCAAGCGUUAUCCGGAUUUAUUGGGCGUAAAGCGAGCGCAGGCGGUUGCUUAGGUCUGAUGUGAAAGCCUUCGGCUUAACCGAAGAAGUGCAUCGGAAACCGGGCGACUUGAGUGCAGAAGAGGACAGUGGAACUCCAUGUGUAGCGGUGGAAUGCGUAGAUAUAUGGAAGAACACCAGUGGCGAAGGCGGCUGUCUGGUCUGCAACUGACGCUGAGGCUCGAAAGCAUGGGUAGCGAACAGGAUUAGAUACC
rnacentral:rRNA from 1 species